rnacentral:rRNA from 1 species
UACGUAGGGUGCAAGCGUUGUCCGGAAUUAUUGGGCGUAAAGAGCUCGUAGGCGGUUUGUCGCGUCGGGAGUGAAAUCCAUUGGCUUAACUGGUGGCUUGCUUUCGAUACGGGCAGACUAGAGUGUGGUAGGGGGAGACUGGAAUUCCUGGUGUAGCGGUGAAAUGCGCAGAUAUCAGGAGGAACACCGAUGGCGAAGGCAGGUCUCUGGGCCACUACUGACGCUGAGAAGCGAAAGCAUGGGGAGCGAACAGG